UAUUAAAGCUUCGGCACUUGAUGAUGGGUGUGCGGCUGAUUAGAUAAUUGGCGGGGUAACGGCCCACCAAGUCUACGAUCAGUAGCUGAUGUGAGAGCAUGAUCAGCCACACGGGCACUGAGACACGGGCCCGACUCCUACGGGAGGCAGCAGUAAGGAAUAUUGGACAAUGGACGAAAGUCUGAUCCAGCCAUGCCGCGUGAAGGAUUAAGGUCCUCUGGAUUGUAAACUUCUUUUAUAUGGGACGAAAAAAGGGCAUUCUUGUUCACUUGACGGUACCAUAUGAAUAAGCACCGGCUAACUCCGUG
rnacentral:rRNA from 1 species